GGAUUGCCUCAGUAACGGCGAGUGAAGCGGCAAAAGCUCAAAUUUGAAAUCUGACCUUCCAGGUCCGAGUUGUAAUUUGUAGAGGAUGUUUCGGGUAAGAUCCAGGCCUAAGUUCCUUGGAACAGGACGUCAUGGAGGGUGAGAAUCCCGUACGUGGUCCAUGAUCGCACCCAUGUGAAACUCCUUCGACGAGUCGAGUUGUUUGGGAAUGCAGCUCAAAAUGGGAGGUAAAUUCCUUCUAAAGCUAAAUAUUGGCCAGAGACCGAUAGCGCACAAGUAGAGUGAUCGAAAGAUGAAAAGCACUUUGAAAAGAGAGUUAAAAAGCAUGUGAAAUUGUUGAAAGGGAAGCGCUUGCAGCCAGACUUGUUUACAGGGUUCAGCCGUCGUUUUCGUCGGUGCAUUUCUCUGCGAUCAGGCCAGCAUCAGUUUGGGUGGAAGGUGAACGGCCCUGGGAAUGUAUCAUCCCCCGGGAUGACUUAUAGCCCUCGGUGUAAUGCUUCCUGCCCAGACUGAGGCACGCGUUCGCUCGGAUGCUGGCGUAAUGGCUGUAAGCGGCCCGUCUUGAAACACGGACCAAGGAGUCUAACAUCUAUGCGAGUAUUCGGGUGUCAAACCCCUAUGCGUAAUGAAAGUGAAUGGAGGUGGGAACCCUUUGGGGGCACCAUCGACCGAUCCAGAUGUCUUCGGAUGGAUUUGAGUAAGAGCAUAGCUGCUGGGACCCGAAAGAUGGUGAACUAUGCCUGAAUAGGGUGAAGCCAGAGGAAACUCUGGUGGAGGCUCGCAGCGGUUCUGACGUGCAAAUCGAUCGUCAAAUUUG
rnacentral:rRNA from 1 species